UACGAAGGGUGCAAGCGUUACUCGGAAUUACUGGGCGUAAAGCGUGCGUAGGUGGUUCGUUAAGUCUGAUGUGAAAGCCCCGGGCUCAACCUGGGAACUGCAUUGGAUACUGGCGAUCUGGAGUGCGGUAGAGGGUGGCGGAAUUCCUGGUGUAGCGGUGAAAUGCGCAGAUAUCAGGAGGAACACCGGUGGCGAAGGCGGGACUCUGGGCCGAUGACUGACGCUGGAGGAGCGAAAGCGUGGGGAGCAAACAGGA
rnacentral:rRNA from 1 species